CAGGAAGCGGCUCAUCACCAGCUUCAGGUGUUUCUAUUUAUUGGGAGACUGUCUUUCCCUGGCACCAGUUGCAACCAAUUAUUACUUUAGAGAGACAGUUUAACAACUGCCUGACCAUCACCUGAUGGUUGCCUGACAUUCCUGGUAAGAGCCCAGGCCAAAGGACACCUUGAUUUUGACCUUGUCAGACCUGGAAUUGAAAAACCAGCUGCACCCUUCUAGAAUUCUUACUUACAAAACUGAAGAUGUUACAGGACAAAAUGAUUUCACUGGGAGCUGAGUUUUGCCAGAUUUGGGGAAAUACUGAUGCAGAACAUCAUUUAUUGAAGGCUGAUACUUAUGGGUAGAAGAGUCAAAGUGCGAAUAUAUCCACACUUCUCUAUGGAUUCUGCAGAAAGAUAUGCUUGGGUCGUGACUCAGACAAUUUGGAGAGAACUCCCUGAAACAUUCACUGUGUAAUUCUACUUUCUUGAAUACUUACUAUAAUUAAAGUUCAUUUCUGAUUUACAUAAAGA
rnacentral:lncRNA from 1 species